UCUCCAAACGAUCAGAAUCGAGCCGAAAUCUACCGUGAACCCUUUCGUGGAUCCUUCCUUCUUCGACCGAGCUAUCGAUAGCCCUAAUUCGAUCGUACUCGCAACCCUAUCUCGAGGCGUCGACGGUGUCGAUAAUUGCGGAAGUGAUGGCGAGAUUAGCAAGGAUAGGGUAGGAGGAAGCGGCACAGCUGCGUCGUUAUUAUCAUUCUCUUCAUUAAAGGACGAUCGGGGCAACGCUUUAAUGGCUUUCUGGGUCUUAUCGUCCGCGGACUCUCGCGGCCCGAGACGCUCAUACGUCGGCCGCUUAUUUCAAUAUUACACUGUAAUAAAUAGCGAGCGUACACGUCGAGGAUUAAAUCGACGAAAAUUACAGAUCGUUCGGGACGAUGGGGACAGGCGGGACGGAGGAAGGAAGCGGAGACCCGCAAAUUACAUAGAUCUCGACCAACGGUACCACGCGUAUACUCUGGGAAUUUUUCAUCCAUGUUGUUGGGAUAAGAGAGACAUUGGAAGAUAGAUAGAGAGAGAGUGGGUUGUUGCGGAGCACUACAGGAUCGUUAUCGAGAGGGUCGACCACCCCUGCGAACCUGACUGUGACUCGAGGGUGGCUGAGAAUUUUGCAGUUUUCGAUUAGGAGCACUUGCUAAUUUGACGAGUGUUGGUGGAGAUUAUGAAUCGUGAUUUUUGAUCCAUAUCGAUCCAAUAACGCAUACAGAAAACGCUCGGUAAUUACCGUGCACUGUCUCACGGGCAGAUCGACAUACUGGCGCUUAAUAACAGGCAAUAAUUGCUGUUUUUCAACGGAAACGGGCAAGUAGAAGCAUUACCUACAAAGUCUUCGUUAUUAAACGAGUCAUCGAUUACGCAACAGAAUUAAUUACGUUUCGAUUGGCAGUGAAGAAUGAUCAUUGAAAUCUCAUUCCGACCAAACCUACGCCGAAUAAUGCUAUAUUUAAAAUUAAGUGCAUCUGGAAAGUGAAAAAAAAUGAUAAAUUUGAAUUAUUCACGACUAACCUGGGGGCACAUUUUGCACUGGUACUUCCUGGG